UGAGGAAUAUUGGUCAAUGGACGAGAGUCUGAACCAGCCAAAUCGCGUGAAGGAAGACCGCCCUACGGGUUGUAAACUUCUUUUGUACAGGAAUAAAAGACAUUACGUGUAAUGUAUUGCAUGUACUGUACGAAUAAGCAUCGGCUAACUCCGUGCCAGCAGCCGCGGUAAUACGGAGGAUGCGAGCGUUAUCCGGAUUUAUUGGGUUUAAAGGGUGCGCAGGCGGGAUUUUAAGUCAGCGGUGAAAUUUUCAGGCUCAACCUGAACACUGCCGUUGAAACUGGGAUUCUUGAGUAUGGAUGAAGUAGGCGGAAUUCGUUGUGUAGCGGUGACAUGCGUAGAUAUAACGAGAAACUCCAAUUGCGUAGGCAGCUUACUAAGCCAUAACUGAC
rnacentral:rRNA from 1 species